UUAAGUUCAGCGGGUAGUCCUACCUGAUUUGAGGUCAGAUUUCAAAGUUUGUUUGCUUGACCGCCACUCUGGCAGCAGGUCGGGGGAGGGCGCAGAAGGGGAACUUCUCUGUCGAGCGAGGAUGGUACAACGCCCAGUCGAGUUCGACCCACAGGCCCAACCGAUGCAUUUGAGGGGAGCCGCCUCACGGCAGCAGAGCC
rnacentral:misc_RNA from 1 species